UUUGGAUUGACUGUUGCAUACAAUAACUAACAAAUUCACUUCCAAAAUUUAUCUUUAAACUGCUGUUAUUGACUUAAAAGCGGUGCAAGCAAAGUUGCCUUUCCAUUCGCAAUCGGGUCAACAAUUGCAACCUAUCCAGUACGAGAAGGUUUGGAAAAUGUCUGAAGCCAUACAUCUCGAUGCGAGAAUUAAAUCUAAUUGGUGAAUUCCCGCAAUAUCCACCCAAGAUGCUGAUCUACUCGAGAAUACAAAGCAUACAUCCUGACGAAAUUGCCAGUUACUCGCGUUUUAUAGCCAGCUAGAACGCCUUUAAGAUCCCAUUUGGAGCCGUCGGGUGAAGCACACACCAGUACGCCUCCAGGAUCCGACAACAUAUUGGAGCUUUCACGGUUGGACACCCGCACACAAAUUAACGAGUCCAACGGCUCCUGAAUCCGUGUCCACAAAGUGCGGCUGCAAUCUUCCGGUGAUACGAUUUGCAUUUCCCGUCCAACGUGCAACUCGGAGGGCCGAGAUGGGAGCAACAAACCUCUGUUGGAGGUAACGUUCCACCCCAGUGUCACACAAUGCGCCAAGUCGACUGUGCUCCCACUAACGUUGACCCCGGCAGCGGUUGGCAGUGUUGGCUGCAGUCGUGCAUGGACAGCUGGCUGCACAUUCGGAUCCGGAAGACACAGAGGCCGCAGGUAAUCAUGACACUCUAGCCGACGAUCCAAGCGGGCCAACAGUAUUUCGUUGCGACCGCUUGAUGUUGACGUUUCCGGUGGCAUGGCGAUCAUUGUGAUGUCACGGCUCUGCAUCAACUUUGGAUUGGUCCCUUGCCAAUAAGGUCCGGCCAACACUUUGAAAUAACCGUUCCUGUACAGCAUCAUAUCGAGUCAGUAUGUAUCGGCAAAACUAUUACGCAAUACGUCAAUAUAAAAAAGAAAUUUUAUGGAAAAUUAACGACGCUGUUAGUGAGCAGCAUAUGGAAAUUAAAACUCCCUGGACGAGGUAUUUGCCCAAAACGUUUACGUAAUGAAAUACUGAAAUACUGAAGAGUUUUCCCUUGCACGCACAUAUAAAUAUUUAAAAAGGAAGUACAGUAACAUAAUUUAUGUAUUCAUUACUUAGAGUUAUUAAUGCUAACAAAUUUUGAUGUUACAAUAAUUAAGGUCAACAUUGCGUUAGUGGUACGUACUUGUCUAUGCAGCCGGAAGAAGUGAUCAGCCACAAAGGAUGCACAAUCACUGCACCACAUCGUAACACCCAACUGCUCCAUACACGCUUGUAAAUCUGGGCCACAAAGGGGAAAAAUUGUUCUUGCCGUUUAAUAAUCAGCUCUCCGUUUUCCGUCACCACCACGCCCUUGUUGCGAUAUAGUCGCGGUUCACACAUCAUCUCCGUGCAGUGCACGCGCAGGACAUUACCGGACUGGCAGUUCUUCACCGGGACAAAGAAACGGGUGGGAUCGCUGCCAACUAAGCGGGACGUCAAAGAAAAGAAUUUGGCCUGUGUAUUUUGCGGUGUCUUGGGUAAAGUCAGCGGCUCGGCAUAUAAUAAUCGGGCAUAUCCCAGAUGGUUACACAGUGUAGUAGGAAUUUCGUAUUCCGUCUGGAAGUCAAACGUGGGUGCCAGGCAUACCGGGUGGAAUUCUGUGCCCCAGCGACGCACCAACACAAUUCCAGCCGGCCGGGUCAAUCCAACGUAGUCCACAGUGUCGGGAAUAGAGUCGCCGUCUCCCAGCAUCCGUAACCAGAUCGCCAACACGCGUACUGGUCAUUGGCAUCGCAGUUAGCCGAGCAUUCAAUUUCAUCGAGAUUGUCGGCGCAAUCUGGGAAUCCGUCGCAGAAUUUGUGCGACACCAGAUCGUCUAAGCAGUUGCAGUGCAGUGGUUCCGACGUGUCGGAUGUGCAGGUAUCCGUCCCGCGACAGAUCUCCGUGCGAUUCUUACAUAUCCCAUCCGUACAGCGAAUUUGUUCGGCAUUACACCGGCAGAAGUACUCAUCCGACAGAUCGUCACAAUCCGGAAUCCCAUUGCAGACCAGUGUUUCCGGUAUACACCAGUCGUGGGUUUUAUCAAAGCGAAUGGAACUGUGGUUUAAACAAGCGAAAAAUCUCGGCGGACAGUUCAUGGCGCAUUCCUCAAGCUCAUCUGCAAAAUGGAAAUUAAAACACACUACAUAUACAAGUGUUACAUAAGUCUGCGACGAUUAAUUUUGGAAAAUAAUUUGAUUAAUAAUUACAGCAAUGCACGACAACAGCAAACUUUUAUAGGUCGUGCAGCGUGUGUCGAGAAAAUAAAAGGAACAAUAACUUAUAAGUUUAUAAUUAAUCCGAACGGUAUUUUAUAAACUUACAACUUUAUUUUAUAAGCAUAAUUAUGUUAUCGUAUGAAACGUUAUCGCUGGCAUUCGCUGCACUGUAAAUUGCUGGUCAAAUUGUUGUAUUUUAUAGCAUUUACCAGACCGGUCAUCGCAGUCCACUUUCCCAUCGCACCACACGGGAAUCGGCAGACACUGAUUAAUACCGCAACGAAAUGUGUACAAUUCAUUACAAUCCACUUCCACCCCAAGAGGUACAUCGAAGCCAGCACUUUUUUGUUUAUUGCCAUCAUACGGAUCGGGCAGUGAUAGCAAAUCGUUUCCAAAUGACGGCGAAUCCGGUGCAAUCCCCACGGUCACAUCUCCUACCCGCACGCCAAUUCGUGGAGCAUGCUGGAUUUCUUGAUUAGCGUUUGCGGGCACAGAAUGUACUGUUGACGCACGAACUAAAAGACAUUAAUAAUCGCAAAGUGUGAUGAAUUAAAGUUUUGCUUGAAAUUCCAGUUCCUGGAUAUUGGGUUUUCUGUAUUACAUACUUUUCCAGUAUGUACACAAU